rnacentral:rRNA from 1 species
CAGCACCUCAAGUGGUCAGGAUGAUUAUUGGGCCUAAAGCAUCUGUAGCCGGCGCUGUAAGUUUUCGGUUAAAUCUGUACGCUCAACGUACAGGCUGCCGGGAAUACUGCAGCGCUAGGGAGUGGGAGAGGUAGACGGUACUCGGUAGGAAGGGGUAAAAUCCUUUGAUCUAUUGAUGACCACCUGUGGCGAAGGCGGUCUACCAGAACACGUCCGACGGUGAGGGAUGAAAGCUGGGGGAGCAAACCGGAUUAGAGACCCGAGUAGUCC